ACACAGCAAAACCACCAGUGUUGAUUUUACAGAGUUCGCUACUCUAGAGUGGUCAGGUGUUAGUUGUAGUGUUCGUUUAUAAUUUAUCAUCACUCACAGUGUCAGAAACUUCCACAAGGGGGUGUUGCUUUCCAGUGUUCCAAUAAUAACGUUUGCGGGGAGUUAAGAUUCACGCCACGCCCCUUCUUUCUGAAGCGGGAAAGUCAGUUACUCAGCAUCGACCGACCUGGACUCACGUUACUGAGGUUUGGAACAUGCUGCUGAAGUUGGUUAUCAGGGCUCCAGGAAAUGUAUCAAACUGCAGGAUUGAUUUAUUUUUGCUCAUUAGUGAAGGUGGUAAGCUAAACUGACUGUGGACUAAUGUAUGCAUUGUUGAUGACACUGAAAUCAAGGAAGACAUUCUACAAGAUGUGCUGCUUACAGUUAG